UGGGGAAUUUUGGACAAUGGGGGAAACCCUGAUCCAGCCAUCCCGCGUGUGCGAUGAAGGCCCUCGGGUUGUAAAGCACUCUUGGCAGGAAAGAAACGUCAUGGGUUAAUACCCCGUGAAACUGACGGUACCUGCAGAAUAAGCACCGGCUAACUACGUGCCAGCAGCCGCGGUAAUACGUAGGGUGCAAGCGUUAAUCGGAAUUACUGGGCGUAAAGCGUGCGCAGGCGGUUCGGAAAGAAAGAUGUGAAAUCCCAGAGCUCAACUUUGGAACUGCAUUUUUAACUACCGGGCUAGAGUGUGUCAGAGAGAGGUGGAAUUCGGCGUGUAGCAGUGAAAUGCGUAGAUAUGCGGAGGAACACCGAUGGCGAAGGCAGCCUCCUGGGAUAACACUGACGCUCAUGCACGAAAGCGUGGGGAGCAAACAGG
rnacentral:rRNA from 1 species